GCCGGCAGUGGCAACUCGCUGGGGUCGCCUUCCACAUCUUGGAAGCUUUGUUCUUUCACUCUUUGUAAUAAAUCUUGCUGCUGCUCACUAUUUGGGUCCACCCUGCUUUUAUGAGCUGUAACACUCACCGCAGAAGUCUGCAGCUUCACUCCUGAAGCCAGCAGGACCAUGAGCCCACCAGGAGGAGCGAACAACUCCAGACGCCCCGCUUUAAGAGCUGUAAUACUCACCGCGAAGGUCUGCAGCUUCACUCCUGAGCCAGCGAGACCAUGAACCCACCAGAAGGAAGAAACUCCGAACACAUCCGAACAUCAGAAGGAACAAACUCCAGACACGCCACCUUAAGAGCUAUAACACUCACCGCGAGGGUCCGCGGCUUCAUUCUUGAAGUUAGUGAGACCAAGAACCCACCAAUUCCGGACACAAUAGUACUUACGGCCUAGACUGCUUCUCACGUUUGCUUAAGAGACACAGAGUACUGUAGCUCUUCCUGGAGAGGUUUACAGAAAGCCAUGUUCAGACCACUGGGAUUUGUGAUUCUCCUCUGGCUAGGGCUGGUUUACAUGCUCCCUCCAUGGUGGGGAGUGGGGUGUCAGCUAAAUUUGGUCCAGUGUUCCUUUCUGCUCUAACAGGACGGCGCUGAGUUUAAUGUCUCACAAUUGCUGUGGUCUCUCUCUCUCCCCCAGCAUCCAGAGAUGCUUUCCACACCACGCUGCCAUGUGGGGAAGGGGAGAGAAUCCUCCACAAUUCAGGACUGUUUUUUUUCUGUCUCUUCAGUGCAUUUUUCAGCGAUAUGAAGCUAAAGACAGAUACUACGAGUCCUCACCUGAUAACUGGUUCUUAUGAAGGUGUUUUUUCUGUGUAGAGAGUUGUUAAUUGGUGUCCUUGUUGAAGGGAUGAUGGGUGAAGCAUUCUAUUCCUCCGUCUUGCUGUGCCUCCUCCCUCUCAAUGUUAUCAAACCAUUGAGAGAAACAGAACUUUCCUCAAAGCCAAGAAACAGCUUUCAAAAGGAAGUUUCCCAAAAACUCUUCUAAAAGUACCAGCAUAUCUUCAAACCAAGUAACGUUUUUUUCAAUGCUAUCCUUAACUGUUCUACUUUUAUUUGCUUGUAGAAAAGUGGCACAACCUAGACUGUCAUCGCUAAAGCCAUGACUAAAAUUUUUAGUAUUUUGUAACCACAUCAGAUUUGUGAACAUCUCCCAGUUGAUAUAAUCACUUAUUUACUCGCAUAUUGAGACUGUACCAUAACUUUGUGGUUCAGAUGGAAUUCGUUAGAAAACUAAACUGUUUUUAAAAACGUUAUGUUUUUGUUUUUCUCGUUAUAAAUUUACCUUCACAGUUUGCAAAUGCAUUAGUAUAAUCAUCUGGUAAAAAAAUGGCAACUCUUGAUUUGAUACAUUUUUAAAAAACAAGUACACUCAGGCAAAUUUUAUAAAUUCAAAACUCACAGUGUUUUGUUUUUAUUUAUAUAUUUUUCUUACAGUUUUCUUUGUUUACUUUUAAUAAUUUGUUAGUACAUCCAAUAUCUACCAAGAUGUAAUAAUCAAAUGUUCUAUUUGCAUUGGAAAAACGUUCUCACUUACAUAGCCUAAGGGCUUUAAAAAAGUUUUUCUUUGUAUUAAGAUGAUAU
rnacentral:lncRNA from 1 species